rnacentral:rRNA from 1 species
AGCGAACGCUGGCGGCAGGCUUAACACAUGCAAGUCGAACGGGCACUUCGGUGCUAGUGGCAGACGGGUGAGUAACGCGUGGGAACGUGCCUUUCGGUUCGGAAUAAUCCAGGGAAACUUGAGCUAAUACCGUAUACGCUCUUGCGAGGAAAGAUUUAUCGCCUUUAGACGGGCCCGCGUCGGAUUAGCUAGUUGGUGGGGUAACGGCCUACCAAGGCGACGAUCCGUAGCUGAUCUGAGAGGAUGAUCAGCCACACUGGGACUGAGACACGGCCCAGACUCCUACGGGAGGCAGCAGUGGGGAAUCUUGGACAAUGGGCGCAAGCCUGAUCCAGCCAUGCCGCGUGAGUGAAGAAGGCCCUCGGGCUGUAAAGCUCUUUUACCAGGGACGAUAAUGACGGUACCUGGAGAAUAAGCCCCGGCAAACUUCGUGCCAGCCGCCGCGGUAA